rnacentral:misc_RNA from 1 species
AACGCACGAGACCUGCGGACCUGCGGAAGGAUCAUUACCGAGUUUACAACUCCCAAACCCAAUGUGAACGUUACCAAACUGUUGCCUCGGCGGGAUCUCUGCCCCGGGUGCGUCGCAGCCCCGGACCAAGGCGCCCGCCGGAGGACCAACCAAAAACUCUUCUGUAUACCCCCUCGCGGGUUUUUUAUACCUGAGCCAUCUCGGCGCCUCUCGUAGGCGUUUCGAAAAUGAAUCAAAACU